rnacentral:snoRNA from 1 species
AAGACUAUACUUUCAGGGAUCAUUUCUAUAAUUUGUUACUAGAGAAGUUUCUCUGAAUGUGUAGAGCAUGGCACG